GUAGAGUAACGCGUGAGUAACCUGCCUUACACAAGGGGAUAGCCUUUGGAAACGAAGAAUAAUACCCUAUAAAACCAUAAAAGCACAUGCUAGAAUGGUCAAAGUGCUAGCGGUGUAAGAUGGACUUGCGUCUGAUUAGCUAGUUGGUGAGAUAAAAGCUCACCAAGGCAACGAUCAGUAGCCGGCUUGAGAGAGUGUACGGCCACAUUGGGACUGAGACACGGCCCAG
rnacentral:rRNA from 1 species